UGUUUGAUGUUCUAACGUGGACCCGUGAUCCGGGUUGCGGACAGUGUCUGGUGGGUAGUUUGACUGGGGCGGUCUCCUCCUAAAGAGUAACGGAGGAGCACGAAGGUUGGCUAAUCCUGGUCGGACAUCAGGAGGUUAGUGCAAUGGCAUAAGCCAGCUUGACUGCGAGCGUGACGGCGCGAGCAGGUGCGAAAGCAGGUCAUAGUGAUCCGGUGGUUCUGAAUGGAAGGGCCAUCGCUCAACGGAUAAAAGGUACUCCGGGGAUAACAGGCUGAUACCGCCCAAGAGUUCAUAUCGACGGCGGUGUUUGGCACCUCGAUGUCGGCUCAUCACAUCCUGGGGCUGAAGUAGGUCCCAAGGGUAUGGCUGUUCGCCAUUUAAAGUGGUACGCGAGCUGGGUUUAGAACGUCGUGAGACAGUUCGGUCCCUAUCUGCCGUGGGCGCUGGAGAACUGAGGGGGGCUGCUCCUAGUACGAGAGGACCGGAGUGGACGCAUCACUGGUGUUCGGGUUGUCAUGCCAAUGGCACUGCCCGGUAGCUAAAUGCGGAAGAGAUAAGUGCUGAAAGCAUCUAAGCACGAAACUUGCCCCGAGAUGAGUUCUCCCUGACCCUUUAAGGGUCCUGA
rnacentral:rRNA from 1 species